AGGAAGUCAUUGUAGGUGAGGCCGUUGGU
rnacentral:piRNA from 1 species